ensembl:lncRNA novel transcript
AUCUGAAACGAAGCCAAGCAAAGCAACAUCACCUUCUGGAAAGUGCAGAAACUGCAAUCAAGAUCAACAAAGAAAAGCACCCUUCCCAUAGAUUCAUCUCUUUGGCGUUUAAGUGUUUGGGCGAGUCUACAAAACUCAGAUUCCUCAUUUAACUAGAUGUUCCAGGUCACAGAGAUAUUCUACUAAGGCAAUUUUCAAAAGACCAUAAAACCACCACAUCAAUUUAUGCUUGCAGCUGCUUCUACUUCAACAAAUACAAGUGCU